UUAACAAAAACAUGUCUUUUUGAAUUUAAAUAUAAAGUCUAAUCUGCCCACUGAUAAAUUAUUUAAUGGCCGCAGUAUUUUAACUGUGCAAAGGUAGCAUAAUAAUUAGUCUUUUAAUUGAAGGCUUGUAUGAAUGAUUGGACGAGAUAUAAACUGUCUCAUAAAAAUUUUUUUUUAAAAAUUAAUUUUUUAGUUAAAAAGCUAAAAUAAAUUUAAAAGACGAGAAGACCCCAUAGAUCUUUAUAUUUUUUUUUAUUAUUGUUAUUUAGUUUUUUUAAAAGUUAAUAAAUAAAAAUAUUUUGUUGGGGUGACAUUGAAAUUUAAUAAACUUUCAAAAUUUAAUACCAUUAAUUUAUGAAUCUAUGAUCCUUUAUUAUUGAUUAAAAAUUUAAGUUACCUUGGGGAUAACAGCGUAAUUAUUUUAGAAAGUUCCUAUUGAUAAAAUAGAUUGCGACCUCGAUGUUGGAUUAAGAUUAAUUUUGGGUGUAGCAGUUCAAAAUAUUAAGUCUGUUCGACUUUUAAUUUCUUACGUGAUCUG
rnacentral:rRNA from 1 species